rnacentral:rRNA from 1 species
GGAAUCUUCCACAAUGGACGCAAGUCUGAUGGAGCAACGCCGCGUGAGUGAAGAAGGGUCUCGGCUCGUAAAGCUCUGUUGUUAAAGAAGAACGUGGGUAAGAGUAACUGUUUACCCAGUGACGGUAUUUAACCAGAAAGCCACGGCUAACUACGUGCCAG